UACGUAGGGUGCAAGCGUUAAUCGGAAUUACUGGGCGUAAAGCGUGCGCAGGCGGUUUUGUAAGUCUGUCGUGAAAGCCCCGGGCUCAACCUGGGAAUUGCGAUGGAGACUGCGAGGCUUGAAUCUGGCAGAGGGGGGUAGAAUUCCACGUGUAGCAGUGAAAUGCGUAGAGAUGUGGAGGAACACCGAUGGCGAAGGCAGCCCCCUGGGUCAAGAUUGACGCUCAUGCACGAAAGCGUGGGGAGCAAACAGG
rnacentral:rRNA from 1 species